rnacentral:rRNA from 1 species
UUGCAGCAUAUCAAUAAGCGGAGGAAAAGAAACCAACAGGGAUUGCCCUAGUAACGGCGAGUGAACAGGCAAGAGCUCAGAUUUGAAAGGCACUUUUGUGCCGUUGUAUUCUGAAGUUAGGGUCCUGAGAAACGAUGCUUAAGUCUUCUGGAAAGGAGCGCCAUGGAGGGUGAUAGCCCCGUCUAGCAUUGACCUCAUAUAGGAUCUUAACAUGGAGUCGAGUUGUUUGGGAAUGCAGCUCAAAUGGGUGGUAUGCUCCAUCUAAAGCUAAAUAUCUGCGAGAGACCGAUAGUAAACAAGUACUGUGAGGGAAAGAUGAAAAGAACUUUGAAAAGAGAGUGAAAAAGUACGUGAAAUUGUUGAAAUGGAAGGGUAGGCCGCUAACCAUGUAGAGCCGUGUUUGGGGGGAAGAUAAAUGCUGUAGAAUGUAGCUCCUCGGAGUAUUAUAGAUGCAGUUCAUAUUCCCACCCGAGCGCGAGGAUCUCAUGCCAUUUAAAAAGAAAAAUU